AACGAACGCUGGCGGCAGGCUUAACACAUGCAAGUCGAACGCGCCCUUCGGGGCGAGUGGCAGACGGGUGAGUAACGCGUGGGAACCUACCUUUUGGUACGGAAUAACUCAGGGAAACUUGAGCUAAUACCGUAUAAGCCCUGACUUUUAAUCGGGUUUGGGGAAAGAUUUAUCGCCAAAAGAUCGGCCCGCGUUAGAUUAGGUAGUUGGUGGGGUAAUGGCCUACCAAGCCUACGAUCUAUAGCUGGUCUGAGAGGAUGAUCAGCCACAUUGGGACUGAGACACGGCCCAAACUCCUACGGGAGGCAGCAGUGGGGAAUAUUGGACAAUGGGCGCAAGCCUGAUCCAGCCAUGCCGCGUGAAUGAUGAAGGCCUUAGGGUUGUAAAAUUCUUUCAACGGGGACGAUAAUGACGGUACCCGUAGAAGAAGCCCCGGCUAACUUCGUGCCAGCAGCCGCCGUAACAC
rnacentral:rRNA from 1 species